UAAGUACCCCGAGGAAAAGAAAUCAACCGAGAUUCCCCCAGUAGCGGCGAGCGAACGGGGAGCAGCCCAGAGCCUGAAUCAGUGUGUGUGUUAGUGGAAGCGUCUGGAAAGGCGCGCGAUACAGGGUGACAGCCCCGUACACAAAAAUGCACAUGCUGUGAGCUCGAUGAGUAGGGCGGGACACGUGGUAUCCUGUCUGAAUAUGGGGGGACCAUCCUCCAAGGCUAAAUACUCCUGACUGACCGAUAGUGAACCAGUACCGUGAGGGAAAGGCGAAAAGAACCCCGGCGAGGGGAGUGAAAAAGAACCUGAAACCGUGUACGUACAAGCAGUGGGAGCACGCUUAGGCGUGUGACUGCGUACCUUUUGUAUAAUGGGUCAGCGACUUAUAUUCUGUAGCAAGGUUAACCGAAUAGGGGAGCCGAAGGGAAACCGAGUCUUAACUGGGCGUUAAGUUGCAGGGUAUAGACCCGAAACCCGGUGAUCUAGCCAUGGGCAGGUUGAAGGUUGGGUAACACUAACUGGAGGACCGAACCGACUAAUGUUGAAAAAUUAGCGGAUGACUUGUGGCUGGGGGUGAAAGGCCAAUCAAACCGGGAGAUAGCUGGUUCUCCCCGAAAGCUAUUUAGGUAGCGCCUCGUGAAUUCAUCUCCGGGGGUAGAGCACUGUUUCGGCAAGGGGGUCAUCCCGACUUACCAACCCGAUGCAAACUGCGAAUACCGGAGAAUGUUAUCACGGGAGACACACGGCGGGUGCUAACGUCCGUCGUGAAGAGGGAAACAACCCAGACCGCCAGCUAAGGUCCCAAAGUCAUGGUUAAGUGGGAAACGAUGUGGGAAGGCCCAGACAGCCAGGAUGUUGGCUUAGAAGCAGCCAUCAUUUAAAGAAAGCGUAAUAGCUCACUGGUCGAGUCGGCCUGCGCGGAAGAUGUAACGGGGCUAAACCAUGCACCGAAGCUGCGGCAGCGACGCUUAUGCGUUGUUGGGUAGGGGAGCGUUCUGUAAGCCUGUGAAGGUGUGCUGUGAGGCAUGCUGGAGGUAUCAGAAGUGCGAAUGCUGACAUAAGUAACGAUAAAGCGGGUGAAAAGCCCGCUCGCCGGAAGACCAAGGGUUCCUGUCCAACGUUAAUCGGGGCAGGGUGAGUCGACCCCUAAGGCGAGGCCGAAAGGCGUAGUCGAUGGGAAACAGGUUAAUAUUCCUGUACUUGGUGUUACUGCGAAGGG
rnacentral:rRNA from 1 species